rnacentral:tRNA from 1 species
UCCUCGAUAGCUCAAUUGGCAGAGCAACGCACUGUUAAUGCGUAGGUUCUUGGUUCGAGUCCAAGUCGGGGAGCGA